ACACAAUACACUUCUCUAAAAAUAAAAACCACAUAAAUCCAUUCAAGCACAACAUUAGUCCCCUUGCUUUUUAAAUCAUGUGACAAAAACAGAGCAUUCCCCUUCAGCCAAAGCUCCUGCUUGGGAUGUGAUAAUGAUGUUUCACUUCGUCAUUAUUCAUCAAGAAUACGAGUUAAGCUAGAUUCAGUCUGUGUCAGUCCUGCUUAUUUUAGAUCAGUGGUGGUUGGUAACUUUUUAAUACGGUGGGGUGUUAAUUCCCACCACUGGAAUUUUGGCCAGUUCAUACAUCUGUGUAAACUUGCCCCUGUGCACUUAAUAUAUUACUGACAUGUUUUUUAGUUGUACUCUUCCUUAAACAAAUUGAAUCUUGGAAAACUAUAUGGGUCCCCUGUAAACAGCCCCCCUCUCCCUCUUACACAUUUUGUCAGUGAAACAACAAACAUGGAGAUCAGGAGAUGUACUUACCAGACUAUUCCUGGUGCCUCUUCCGAAUUGCAGCAGCUGAUGUAUGAAUGAACACUUGCUUGAAAUGGGUAAUAAAAGUCACCAAGACCCUCUUUUCAGAAGAUGCUCACACAAUGUCAGGACACACAACUGGUUUUGUUGUCCAUUUUGACCAAGAUGUCAAAAGAGUAG